UAAUGCAGUCGAGCGGACAGAAGGGAGCUUGCUCCCGGAUGUUAGCGGCGGACGGGUGAGUAACACGUGGGUAACCUGCCUGUAAGACUGGGAUAACUCCGGGAAACCGGAGCUAAUACCGGAUAGUUCCUUGAACCGCAUGGUUCAAGGAUGAAAGACGGUUUCGGCUGUCACUUACAGAUGGACCCGCGGCGCAUUAGCUAGUUGGUGAGGUAACGGCUCACCAAGGCGACGAUGCGUAGCCGACCUGAGAGGGUGAUCGGCCACACUGGGACUGAGACACGGCCCAGACUCCUACGGGAGGCAGCAGUAGGGAAUCUUCCGCAAUGGACGAAAGUCUGACGGAGCAACGCCGCGUGAGUGAUGAAGGUUUUCGGAUCGUAAAGCUCUGUUGUUAGGGAAGAACAAGUGCAAGAGUAACUGCUUGCACCUUGACGGUACCUAACCAGAAAGCCACGGCUAACUACGUGCCAGCAGCCGCGGUAAUACGUAGGUGGCAAGCGUUGUCCGGAAUUAUUGGGCGUAAAGGGCUCGCAGGCGGUUUCUUAAGUCUGAUGUGAAAGCCCCCGGCUCAACCGGGGAGGGUCAUUGGAAACUGGGAAACUUGAGUGCAGAAGAGGAGAGUGUAAUUCCACGUGUAGC
rnacentral:rRNA from 1 species